rnacentral:miRNA from 12 species
UCCAAAGGGAUCGCAUUGAUCUCACCUGCCGCCCGCCGCUGCGCCUGCGCGCGAGGGGACAAGAUCAGUGCAAUCCCUUUGGAA